UACGGAGGGUGCGAGCGUUGUCCGGAAUCAUUGGGCGUAAAGGGCGCGUAGGUGGCUUCUUAAGCGUGCGGUGAAAGCCUGGGGCUCAACCCCGGGUCGGCCGUGCGAACUGGGGGGCUGGAGCACUGUAGAGGCAGGCGGAAUUCCGGGUGUAGCGGUGGAAUGCGUAGAGAUCCGGAAGAACACCGGUGGCGAAGGCGGCCUGCUGGGCAGUUGCUGACACUGAGGCGCGACAGCGUGGGGGAGCAAACAGG
rnacentral:rRNA from 1 species